CUGUCUCUUGCUUCGACAGAGUUUGGACGGAACAG
rfam:Myotis davidii contig174067, whole genome shotgun sequence.